GGGAACGUGUAUCGGGUCGUCUCGCGCUUUGUGGGAGUUUUGUUGUUUUGCUAUGUGGGACUAUAUUGCCUUUGUGAGCUAUGACACUCCCUGCGAAGGUUUGUAGCUUUACUUUCGAAGCUAAUAUAAGCUGUUGAGCCUUGGUGGGAGGAAAAAGCUCCAAACGCACCACUUUAAGAGCUGUAAUAGUUACCGCGAAGGUCCGUAACUUCAUUGCUGAGGUAUCAAGACCACUAAACCCACCUAGAAGAAAAACUCGGAACACACCCAAACGUAAUAAUGAAACAAAACUCCGGAUACGCCACUUUUAAGAACUGUUACUACCGCGAGGGUCUGAGGCUUCCUUUUUGAAGUCAGACUAAGAACCCACCAAUUCCAGACAGUUUUAUGUUUAACUCAAUAUGGUUGUUUUUUUCGUGUUUAACUGUAUACACAAAUGUUUUAAUUGCAUGAUACGUGCUCUGGUUUCCUUUGGUUUACUUCCCUGUGAUCUGUCACUUAGGUAAUUACUAAUUUUUCACAGUUGUGGGCGACAUGCUGAUUUUUGUGCAAGGGUGCGUGUGUUCUGUCUGUACUACUGGAAACUGGAGUUCCAUGACACCGCAGCAUACUUCUAGGGUCUUGCACACCUGGUCUGGCUUCAGUAAGGGAAUAAACCAAGUCUAGAGUGCAAUUAGCGUUUGAAUUAGUGACAUGAGGAUAAACAGGUGAUUAUCCCAUCUAAUAGCUGUUGAAUGGUGUUAGAGAUACUAUCAGACCGCUUGAGCUUCAAACGUAGGGGUUUAUUGACGAUUAAGAAAGGACUAUGGGACUAUUGGUUUAAAUAAAUGAAAAUAGGGUUUCCAAAAUGAAGUUAUUUCUAAGUGCUUUAAACCAACUGAUUCCAACUUCUAAAGUUGCUUAAAAGGUGAAGAGCAGAAAUCACAUUUGUACUUCCUUUUGUCUGAAGCGCUCACAGUGUUAAGUAUAGACAUUCUUACACACUUUCGGUUAGGUGAAGAACACAUAAAAUUCAGUAACUGCAUUUUGCCCACGGGGAGACCAAGUCAGAACUCUCUACAGACUUCCACAGAGGUCACAAUCAGACACUGAAGAGACAAAAUUAGAACUCAGUGUUCUGGGCUUUAGAAGGAUCAGCUUCUAAAACCAACACUUUUUCUCUCUGAAAUCUAUAUUGAGAUUUUUAGAGUUAGCAACAGGUGAGAACAUUUUUAUUGAUGUUUGGCUUCACAGUUUUAAUUACCUGUUUUGGAUUAGAGCUUGUGGGAGUCUGCAGUCUGAGUUGGUGGGGACCUGAUGGAAUAUAUUACAGCUGCUAUUUUCAUAAAAGUUUAUGCUUAACUUUUUUUGCCUUAAGUUUUGGGUUCGUGGAUUUAGGGUCAACACAGGAUUACAACGGUCUAGGUUUUCCAGAAUUGCCACAAAAUUCAGUAAAACUUUCACUGAGCCACCCUUCUUGGUGAAGAAGUAAAACCUUAGCAAAAGAAAUGCUGGGAAGAGUGUGACUUUGAUAAAUGCAAAUAUGACUUUCUUCCAUGUACGUGUGUAGCACUGAAACAAAUUUGGUCUAUUCCUUUAAACAUAUACAGUACAAAUGUUUUUCCUUUCAAACAAAUAGAAAUCAUUACCCUUUACUGAUUUUAGAUAAUUCACAAAAUGAGUUCUGUUUACCAAUCAAGUAACUCAUGCUGGUGUUUAUAUCUGAGGGAAAAUUAGUGAACUCACAUGUCUGGCUAGCCUGGCCUCUGAUUUGCAUAUAUGUAAAUCAGUCCCUUUCAUUUUUUUCAUGAUCAGCCUGCUAGUCCAAGGGUUAGAUCAUCCUGAACAGUAAGCUGGCACUUUAUUUGCUUGUAAGAGAGAACUUAUACAUCUGCUAUACAAUCUGCUAUACGUUUUUGGAGGCGAUGAUGAGCAGUGAGGAGGAGGGCAAGGACUGGCUUAUGGUGGAUUACACAGACUUACUGUAUAUAUGGCCCAGAUGCUACGUGGAAGACUUACACAAAAAUUCCUUGUUUUUGUGAAGGUUAGACUUAACUAGGCAUCUGUAUUUUUUGUUUGCUAAAUCAAGUUAGCUAAGCAGGUUAGUGCUGGCCACUCUUUACUGGCCAGGCGUCCUGGGGGGGUCUUCCCAGCAAGCUCUACAGAAGCAGCGCGGCUCUUCUCUCGUGGGUGUGGAUCUUGAGAUGGGCGCGCUGCUCUGAUGCGGUGCUGCGUCUCCCUUCAGGAAGAAGAUGGGAAUCGUACCAGUUCACAGAGAUCUUCCUGGUCCUCAGUUAAUACAGAAUAUUAAUGAAACUUAUCACUUUAAAUGAACCCAGGUAGCCGCCCUUGUCAUCUUAACUACCAACGAAUGUCUUCAGGCCGUUAAGACAGGGCAAAGGGGUGAGAGGAUCGGGUGGGGCGAGAGGAAAGCCUGGCCCGUGCGGGGGUCAGACCUUCAUUCUGCCGUCAGCUGUGCUGGAGACUCUCAGCAAGGGAGAGACGUGGCGUCUCUGAGUGGUUUUUGCCCUAAAGGAUGCUUACGGUCAUAGGAAGCUUUUCCAUGUGUUUCCUUCAUGGGUGUCUACGGCUUUUGUUUUCAGCUGCGCUUUGCACAGGGGCUGGAAGGCUAACUCCCCAAAAGGGAACUUCCUCUCCUUCUAGAAACUGACCCCUGGUGGUUGCUAUAGCAACUGCAAAGCGAGAAUAAUGAGCUGUGUAAACAAGCCCCAUUCCCAGUACUGGGGCGUUGCUAGCCCUCCUUAGAGAGGGCGAGGGAGAGGAGGAUGCUGUGCCUGGAAAGCGGCUCUUGAGGAGAGCUGGAAUCUCGGCAAAGCGUCCACUCCCUCCCCUCCCCUUUCCUCUCACCUCUAGUGUUCCCACCAGCCCCGGGGAGGAGACAAAGGACGUGGGAGGGCAGCAGCAUGCAGGGGGCCUGCCUUUGACGCCCAGGAGUUGAACACCAGACAGAAAAUGAAAUCUAAACAUUUACCCAGAGCCCUGGGCUAGAAAUGGGCCAACCUGACCCUGGAAAACAAACAACCCGCGUCACCGCCACACCUGCUGCAGGCCCCAGAUGCCACAGAUGAGGUUUUGCUCUGUUGCCCAGGCUGGUCUCAAACUCCUGCACAAGCAAUCUGCCUGCCCUGGCCUUCCAAAAGUCCUAAGAUUUCAGGUGUGACUCACCGCGCCCAGCCUCAGGUUGCCUUAAAGAAAAGUUUCUGUAUAUUAAAUAUAAACUAUAUGAUGCACAA
rnacentral:lncRNA from 1 species